rnacentral:rRNA from 1 species
GAUGAACGCUGGCGGCGUGCCUAAUACAUGCAAGUCGAGCGAACAGACGAGGAGCUUGCUCCUCUGACGUUAGCGGCGGACGGGUGAGUAACACGUGGAUAACCUACCUAUAAGACUGGGAUAACUUCGGGAACCCGGAGCUAAUACCGGAUAAUAUAUUGAACCGCAUGGUUCAAUAGUGAAAGACGGUUUUGCUGUCACUUAUAGAUGUAUCCGCGCCGCAUUAGUUAGUUGGUAAGGUAACGGCUUACCAAGGCGACGAUGCGUAGCCGACCUGAGAGGGUGAUCGGCCACACUGGAACUGAGACACGGUCCAGACUCCUACGGGAGGCAGCAGUAGGGAAUCUUCCGCAAUGGGCGAAAGCCUGACGGAGCAACGCCGCGUGAGUGAUGAAGGUCUUCGGAUCGUAAAACUCUGUUAUUAGGGAAGAACAAAUGUGUAAGUAACUAUGCACGUCUUGACGGUACCUAAUCAGAAAGCCACGGCUAACUACGUG